UGGGGAAUUCUGGACAAUGGGCGAAAGCCUGAUCCAGCAAUGCCGCGUGUGUGAAGAAGGCCUUCGGGUUGUAAAGCACUUUUGUCCGGAAAGAAAUCCUUGGCUCUAAUACAGUCGGGGGGAUGACGGUACCGGAAGAAUAAGCACCGGCUAACUACGUGCCAGCAGCCGCGGUAAUACGUAGGGUGCAAGCGUUAAUCGGAAUUACUGGGCGUAAAGCGUGCGCAGGCGGUUUGCUAAGACCGAUGUGAAAUCCCCGGGCUCAACCUGGGGAACUGCAUUGGUGACUGGCAGGCUAGAGUAUGGCAGAGGGGGGUAGAAUUCCACGUGUAGCAGUGAAAUGCGUAGAGAUGUGGAGGAAUACCGAUGGCGAAGGCAGCCCCCUGGGCCAAAUACUGACGCUCAUGCACGAAAGCGUGGGGAGCAAACAGGAUUAGAUACCCUGGUAGUCCACGCCCUAAACGAUGUCAACUAGUUGUUGGGGAUUCAUUUCCUUAGUAACGUAGCUAACGCGUGAAGUUGACCGCCUGGGGAGUACGGUCGCAAGAUUAAAACUCAAAUGAAUUGACGGGGUCAUAGCUG
rnacentral:rRNA from 1 species